GCACGCACGGCACGCACGACUGAAGGCUUGUUUCCAAUCUUCCCGGAAGCUGAAUACCAACCAAAACAGAUUGAUCUGAAAGGCAGGAUGCCAUCCCAGCUGGCUUCCUAACUCUCCCGCUUCACAAACAUGGAAGAAAAUAUCUCUGUUCAACUCUAGGAAAGAAGCCAGUCUCCCCUCUACCUUGGAGGAUUCCCACUGUGAAUCUGGAUAGGGUGUUAUUUAUUGUAUUGGCUUUUGCUGUUUUGAUGAGCAACUAGCGGAGAAGGAAUGCACUCUCCAUAUACCUUGCCUCCAAGCUGAGAGGACAGAAAGAAUCAGGUCUGGCCAUCUGCCUAGCAUGGACACGUGGAAUCACGGGGCCUGAGUGCUAUGGAGUGCGUGCGUGCUGAGUCUUUGCAAGGCCCAGAAGCACUAGCCAGUAGAUCUCCAUGAAAUGGUUCCCCAGUGGCUGAAAAGAAUUAUUGAGGCUUUCUACAGUGAGUCAUUCCCUCCCCGGGGUCGUCUGGGCUCAGGGAAAACCUGUCUUGCUGAUUAUGAGUGAUUUAAUGGCAGUGGAGAUGGACUUCUGAGAACUUAGAGGUCCGCUUCAGCUUUCCUGGCAAAGGAUCUUUCUGUCCUCUAAAUGUGCCACUUGAUGGACAAUUUGCUGUGACACUAACAAGAAAAUGACGAGUGUUCAAAGGUGACGACUCAUCUUCCCUAAUGAGACUUAAGAGUCACAACUUCAACACAAUGAAUGAAGACUAUAGACCACAGGCACAUCUUCUAGCCCAAGCCAGAAGAGGCAGUGAGUGGUGACAGAGCUGGGGAUCGAACCCAGGGCCUUGCGCUUCCUAGGCAAGCGCUCUACCACUGAGGUAAAUCCCCAACCCCAUUCCUUGGCCAUUUUGAGUGUUCCUUUGCGUGUUCAUCACAAUACAAUCAGACCAUCCUGUA